rnacentral:rRNA from 1 species
GCGCACGGGUGAGUAACGCGUAUGCAACCUACCUGUAACAGGGAGAUAGCCCAGGGAAACUUGGAUUAAUACACCGUAGUAUUUAAGUGGCAUCACUUUGUUUUUAAAGCUUUCGAGCGGUUACAGAUGGGCAUGCGUGCCAUUAGUUAGUUGGUAAGGUAACGGCUUACCAAGACAUUGAUGGCUAGGGGGUCUAAAAGGAUGGUCCCCCACACUGGUACUGAGACACGGACCAGACUCCUACGGGAGGCAGCAGUGAGGAAUAUUGGGCAAUGGGUGCAAGCCUGACCCAGCCAUGCCGCGUGCAGGAUGACUGCCCUACGGGUUGUAAACUGCUUUUCUGCGUGAAGAAAAAGAGUUACGAGUAACUCAUUGACGGUAGCGUAGGAAUAAGCAUCGGCUAACUCCGUGCCAGCAGCCGCGGUAAUACGGAGGAUGCAAGCGUUAUCCGGAUUUAUUAGGUUUAAAGGGUGCGUAGGCGGGACUUUAAGUCAGUGGUGAAAUCCUGCGGCUUAACCGCAGAACUGCCAUUGAAACUAUUGUUCUUGAGUUCAGUUGAGGCAGGCGGAAUGUGUAAUGUAGCGGUGAAAUGCAUAGAUAUUACACAGAACACCGAUUGCGAAGGCAGCUUGCUAAACUGACACUGACGCUGAUUCACGAAAGCGUGGGGAGCGAACAGGAUUAGAUACCCUGGUAGUCCACGCCGUAAACGAUGCUCACUGGUUGUUGGCGCUACAUUGUCAGCGACUGAGGGAAACCAUUAAGUGAGCCACCUGGGGAGUACGUCGGCAACGAUGAAACUCAAAGGAAUUGACGGGGGCCCGCACAAGCGGUGGAACAUGUGGUUUAAUUCGAUGAUACGCGAGGAACCUUACCUGGGCUUAAAUGCAGAGUGCAUGAGUAUGAAAAUAUUCUUUCCUUCGGGACUCUUAUUACAAGGUGCUGCAUGGCUGUCGUCAGCUCGUGCCGUGAGGUGUCGGGUUAAGUCCCAUAACGAGCGCAACCCUUGUCAUUAGUUACCAUCACGUAAAGGUGGGGACUCUAAUGAGACUGCCGGUGUAAACCGUGAGGAAGGUGGGGAUGACGUCAAGUCAGCGCGGCCCUUACGUCCAGGGCUACACACGUGUUACAAUGGCCGGUACAAAGGGCAGCUACUAUGCGAAUAGGUGCUAAUCUCGAAAGCCGGUCUCAGUUCGGAUCGUAGUCUGCAACUCGACUACGUGAAGUUGGAUUCGCUAGUAAUCGCGCAUCAGCAACGGCGCGGUGAUACGUUCCCGGGCCUUGUACACACCGCCCGUCAAGCCAUGGAAGCCGGGGGUACCUGAAGUC